rnacentral:rRNA from 1 species
UGGGGAAUAUUGCACAAUGGGCGAAAGCCUGAUGCAGCCAUGCCGCGUGUGUGAAGAAGGCUCUAGGGUUGUAAAGCACUUUCAGUAGGGAGGAAAGGUUGAUGGUUAAUACCCAUCAGCUGUGACGUUACCUACAGAAGAAGCACCGGCUAACUCCGUGCCAGCAGCCGCGGUAAUACGGAGGGUGCAAGCGUUAAUCGGAAUUACUGGGCGUAAAGCGUGCGUAGGCGGCUACCUAAGUUGGAUGUGAAAGCCCCGGGCUCAACCUGGGAACUGCAUCCAAAACUGGGUGGCUAGAGUGCGAGAGAGGAGUGUGGAAAUUUUCCCUGUGUAGCGGUGAAAAUGCGUAGAUAUAGGAAGGAAACACCAGUGGCGAAGGCGACACUCUGGCUUGACACUGACGCUGAGGUACGAAAGCGUGGGGAGCAAA